rnacentral:misc_RNA from 1 species
GAAUGUCUCAGUGGAAGCAAGAGGUUUGACUGGAGGCAUGAGAUCAACAGGCUCUGCCGGCUUUGCAGGCACCUUUGCAAGCAUUGCAAACAAAUCAUUGUCUGAACUGUUUAGCUGAAAGAAAGCAUCAUCGCCACAGGUCUUCAGAGGUGGAGCUAGUUUCUCUUGCUUGGCAGCGUUUUGCUUCAGGGAGAGCUUCUGAGCAACAGCUGGUUCAUCAGGAAAGUUGACCUUGGCUUUCUUGCCACGGAUCUUGCGGGCUUCAGCGUCAUAUGCCCUAGCUGCCUCCUCAGCAGUGUUAUAUGUUCCAAGCCAAACACGGACACCCUUGCUGGGGUCUCGGAUUUCAGCUGCCCAUUUGCCCCAGGGACGCUGGCGGAUCCCCCUGUACUGAUUCUUCCUCUUGUGCUUUGCUGAUCUAGCAGUAGGUCCAUCAUGUUGGACAAGCUUUGUAGUCAACAUCCCAUCUGCAGUUGGGGGCGCCGCCUUGGCCGCGGCACGGACGACGAACCUCGCCGCCGCCGGCGGGGGGACCACCACGACCACGUCGUCG